UAAAUGACAACUCAGUAGGCCUUAACAG
rnacentral:sRNA from 1 species